AUUGAACGCUGGCGGCAGGCCUAACACAUGCAAGUCGAACGAGUGGCGGACGGGUGAGUAAUGUCUGGGAAACUGCCCGAUGGAGGGGGAUAACUACUGGAAACGGUAGCUAAUACCGCAUACCCUCGGAUGUGCCCAGUUGGGAUUAGCUAGUAGGUGGGGUAACGGCUCACCUAGGCGACGAUCCCUAGCUGGGCUGAGAGGAGGACCAGACACCCUGGAACUGAGACAGGGUCCAGACUCCUACGGGAGGCAGCAGUGGGGAAUAUUGCACAAUGGGCGAAAGCCUGAUGCAGCCAUGCCUCGUGUAUGAAGAAGGCCUUCGGGUUGUAAAGUACUUUCAGCGGGGAGGCGGUACUCGCAGAAGAAGCACCGGCUAACUCCGUGCCAGCCGCCGCGGUAAUAC
rnacentral:rRNA from 1 species